rnacentral:rRNA from 1 species
AGAGUUUUGAUUCCNGGCUCAGGGAUGNAACGGCUAGCGGCAGGCUUUAACACUUGCAAGUCGAGGGGUUAUUUGGACUUCGGUUCCAGAGAGACCGGCAAACGGGUGCGGGAACACGUACACAACCUACCUUUUAUCAGGGGGAUAGCCCAUAGAAAUGUGGAUUAAUACCCCAUAGGAUCAUAUAAUGGCAUCAUUAAGUGAUUAAAGAACUUCGGAUAGAGAUGGGUGUGCGUAAGAUUAGCUAGUUGGUAGGGUAACGGCCUACCAAGGCGACGAUCUUUAGCUGAUGUGAGAGCAUGAUCAGCCACACGGGCACUGAGACACGGGCCCGACUCCUACGGGAGGCAGCAGUGAGGAAUAUUGGUCAAUGGACGGAAGUCUGAACCAGCCAUGCCGCGUGAAGGAUGAAGGCGUUCUGCGUUGUAAACUUCUUUUAUCUUGGGAAGAAACC